rnacentral:rRNA from 1 species
AUUGAACGCUGGCGGCAGGCCUAACACAUGCAAGUCGGACGGUAGCACAGAGAGCUUGCUCUUGGGUGACGAGUGGCGGACGGGUGAGUAAUGUCUGGGGAUCUGCCCGAUAGAGGGGGAUAACCACUGGAAACGGUGGCUAGUACCGCAUAACGUCGCAAGACCAAAGAGGGGGACCUUCGGGCCUCUCACUAUCGGAUGAACCCAGAUGGGAUUAGCUAGUAGGCGGGGUAAUGGCCCACCUAGGCGACGAUCCCUAGCUGGUCUGAGAGGAUGACCAGCCACACUGGAACUGAGACACGGUCCAGACUCCUACGGGAGGCAGCAGUGGGGAAUAUUGCACAAUGGGCGCAAGCCUGAUGCAGCCAUGCCGCGUGUAUGAAGAAGGCCUUCGGGUUGUAAAGUUCUUUCAGCGGGGAGGAAGGCGGUGCGGUUAAUAACCGCGUCGAUUGACGUUACCCGCAGAAGAAGCACCGGCUAACUCCGUGCCAGCCGCCGCCGUAA